rnacentral:misc_RNA from 1 species
GAACUGCGAUACGUAAUGUGACUUGCAGAAUCUCGUGAAUCAUCAAAUCUUUGAACGCAAAUGGCGCUCCCGCGCAGGGAGCACGCCUGUCUGAGUAUCACGAACCCCCUCUCUCCCGCCGCCGCUCGGCGGCGGGGCGGCUGAGGGCCUCACGCCCUCGCGGGCGCGUCCCUUGAAAGCGACCUUUCCACGUCGUCCUGCCGCGACGCGAGGAGAAACGCUGCAAAUAUAACCAAUUUGAACCGUCUCUCCGCGCCGCGGCGGGCCGCGCAACUCUGUGAUCUCAGAUCAGGCGAGAGGACCCGCUGAACUUAA